rnacentral:rRNA from 1 species
AGAGUUUGAUUAUGGCUCAGGAUGAACGCUAGCGGCAGGCCUAAUACAUGCAAGCUGAACGGUAACUCUUGUAGCAAUAUGAGAGCUAGAGUAGCGUAAGGGUGCGUAACACGUAUGCAAUCUACCCACAACAGGAGGAUAGCUCUUCGAAAGGGGAAUUAAGACUCCAUAAGACCACGAGAGGGCAUCUGAUAGUGGUUAAACUACCAAGGGGUUGUGGAUGAGCAUGCGUCUGAUUAGUUAGUUGGCGGGGUAACGGCCCACCAAGACGAUGAUCAGUAGGGGAACUGAGAGGUUGGUCCCCCACACUGGCACUGAGAUACGGGCCAGACUCCUACGGGAGGCAGCAGUAGGGAAUAUUGGACAAUGGGUGCAAGCCUGAUCCAGCCAUGCCGCGUGCAGGAAGAAAGCCUUCUGGGUUGUAAACUGCUUUUUUCAGGGGAUAAAAGGCCCGUGCGCGGGACAUUGAAAGUACCUGGAGAAUAAGCCACGGCUAACUACGUGCCAGCAGCCGCGGUAAUACGUAGGUGGCGAGCGUUGUCCGGAUUUAUUGGGUUUAAAGGGUGCGUAGGCGGCUCAUUAAGUCAGUUGUGAAAUACGACAGCUUAACUGUCGAGGUGCAAUUGAUACUGGUGAGCUUGAGUACUGAUGAGGUAGGCGGAAUGGACGGUGUAGCGGUGAAAUGCUUAGAGAUCGUCCAGAACACCGAUAGCGAAGGCAGCUUACUAAGGAGUAACUGACGCUGAGGCACGAAAGUGUGGGGAUCAAACAGGAUUAGAUACCCUGGUAGUCCACACUGUAAACGAUGAUUACUCGAUGUUGGCGAUACACGGCCAGCGUCUUAGCAAAGCGAUAAGUAAUCCACCUGGGGAGUACGCCGGCAACGGUGAAACUCAAAGGAAUUGACGG